rnacentral:rRNA from 1 species
UCCUGGCUCAGGAUGAACGCUGGCGGCGUGCUUAACACAUGCAAGUCGAGCGAAGCACUCUGUCUGAUUUCUUCGGAUUGAAGACAGUUUGACUGAGCGGCGGACGGGUGAGUAACGCGUGGGGAACCUGCCUUACACAGGGGGAUAACAGUUAGAAAUGGCUGCUAAUACCGCAUAACCCGCUGGGGUCGCAUGACUCUGACGGAAAAGAUUGUAUCGGUGUAAGAUGGACCCGCGUCUGAUUAGCUGGUUGGUGAGGUAACGGCUCACCAAGGCGACGAUCAGUAGCCGACCUGAGAGGGUGAUCGGCCACAUUGGGACUGAGACACGGCCCAAACUCCUACGGGAGGCAGCAGUGGGGAAUAUUGCACAAUGGGGGAAACCCUGAUGCAGCAACGCCGCGUGAGUGAAGAAGUAUUUCGGUAUGUAAAGCUCUAUCAGCAGGGAAGAAAUUGACAGUACCUGACUAAGAAGCCCCGGCUAACUACGUG